rnacentral:rRNA from 1 species
CAGUCGCCGCGGGAAUACGUAGGGUGCAAGCGUUAAUCGGAAUUACUGGGCGUAAAGCGUGCGCAGGCGGUUAUAUAAGACAGAUGUGAAAUCCCCGGGCUCAACCUGGGAACUGCAUUUGUGACUGUAUAGCUAGAGUACGGCAGAGGGGGAUGGAAUUCCGCGUGUAGCAGUGAAAUGCGUAGAUAUGCGGAGGAACACCGAUGGCGAAGGCAAUCCCCUGGGCCUGUACUGACGCUCAUGCACGAAAGCGUGGGGAGCAAACAGGAUUAGAUACCCGUGUAGUCCCUGUCUCUUAUAU